AUUGAACGCUGGCGGCAUGCCUUACACAUGCAAGUCGAACGGCAGCACGGGGCAACCUGGUGGCGAGUGGCGAACGGGUGAGUAAUGCAUCGGAACGUACCUUUCAGUGGGGGAUAACGUAGCGAAAGUUACGCUAAUACCGCAUAUUCUGUGAGCAGGAAAGCAGGGGAUCGCAAGACCUUGCGCUGAUUGAGCGGCCGAUGUCAGAUUAGCUAGUUGGUGGGGUAAAGGCUCACCAAGGCGACGAUCUGUAGCGGGUCUGAGUGGAUGAUCCGCCACACUGGAACUGAGACACGGUCCAGACUCCUACGGGAGGCAGCAGUGGGGAAUUUUGGACAAUGGGGGCAACCCUGAUCCAGCCAUGCCGCGUGAGUGAAGAGGGCCUUCGGGUUGUAAAGCUCUUUCGGCCGGGAAGAAAUCGCACGGGCUAAUACCCUGUGUGGAUGACGGUACCGGAAUAAGAAGCACCGGCUAACUACGUGCCAGCAGCCGCCGUAACAC
rnacentral:rRNA from 1 species